GAAUCACAAUUUUCUGCCUUUUCUUGCAUCUGUGAAUAACCUUCUCGAGGCCUUUCUUGGACUUCACUCAUUGCCUGUACACAUACCGAGGACACAGGCUUAUGUCUGGGUUAUAGCUAUGUCUGCUUCUAAAUAAAAAUCAAUUACAUUUAUAAUAAUCUAUUGCUACAUACAGUACAUCUCCUCAUAACUUAGUAACUUUUUUAAAAGUGAUUUUUGUUUGCUUCUUACAGUGUGAUGGAUCUUGGGUUAGAUAAAAUAUAAUAGAAUGUUUCUCAUGUCUAUGAUGGACCAAAACAUUCAAAGGAGCCUCUUCCCUCUUCGCUUCCAUGCCUGAUGCCUCAGAGAGGGUGGCUCACAGUGUCAAGCAGACAAGUGGGAUGAUUUGCCUGGACUCCUGAGUACAGCAUUCUCAGUUUGCAGUGGCGGCUGGAUUCGAUGGUUCUCCUUCACAGAGCCUCAGUAUCUCUCUAUCUCUAUGUGGCCUCUCUGUGUGGAUCAGCUCAGGCACUUUAUAUAGCAGCUCGGGGCUCAAAAAGGCAAAAGGCAAACACUGCUAAUUUAUCUUUAAGGCUUCAGCCACUUUUACCACACUCUGCUGAGCAAAGAAAGACAAAGACCAGCCUGGAUUCAAGGGAAUGUGGCUACACGGAGAAGUGAUCACUUAAAGGGGUGACCCCAUAGGGGCAUCAGAAUAACACAUGGGAUCUGCCCAGGUUGCAAGGAAGGAGAGUUCUGCUUGCAAUUCCUUGCCUCUUCCUCCAUCUACCUGCUCCAGGUUGAAGUACAUCACCACUUGGGAGCAGCCAUGACAGUGCCUCAUGCUGGCUCUGAGGCUUCUACCCUGAUAGAUGUCUGUAUGGUUGUCUGUCUUGAUGACUAACUCCCACAUGCUCCUUCAAAGACUCAAGGGGGCCAACUGUGUUUCAUCAAGUUCCUUCUCUCUUCCAUCCAUGGUACCUCUGCUGAAACUGUUUCCAGCUACCACAGCCAAACGUGUGCUGUUAACAGCACUCCUGGUUUCUGAUAGGCCAACUGUUUGCAACAACAAGAACAACAACAAGAACAACCACCAAAAUACAGGACAGAGACACCACACUAUCUGCAGCUAUAGACAAGGGCAUCUGAAUCUUACCUGCUUUGGAAUAAUUCCAGGACAAGAUGUAAGGAAUAUUGGGGAUUUACCUAGCAAAAGGUAUCUGGAGAGGACACAGGAUCCUCGGCUGAGAGUCUCACAAGACCACAGUUGAGGUGGCCGUAGGACGGAUCUGCCCUAUCAACUGGAGGGCUGACUAGUAAGUAACCCACUGCCUAGCUUAGUCAGGUUAUUGGCGUUUUUCAUUCCAUUGUGAUUAUUGAGGGUCCUGCCUUCCAAAUGACUGGUACCAUAUCUGCCCUCAAAUCCCAUUAGUCCCUCAGCUUUCCUGGAGGCCACUCACAGUCCCUUGACACACUAAUUUUCCCAAUAACACCGCUUCGUCAAGACAGCAAAGGGGUGUUUAGAAUAAGUCCGGUAGUAAUACAGAGACUGGUAUAACACACGAGAGUGAUGGAGUAACAUCGGGUGCCCUGGUCAUCUUCUGCUGGCUGUCCUCAACCUCCAGUCCCACCUGUAGAGAUACACAGGAUGUGAAUCUGCUAGCCUAAGCUUCACCUUAAACUCUACCUGCCACCAACAGAAAGCAGAAUUUCUGCUCCUUGUCAAAGUCUCCGGGGAGAGAUUGCCUUUCAGGGGACAGUUCCCAUCAGAAGGGCUUCAUGUGACAGCCACAUUGGAGCCCGAUCACCGACAGGCUCAAGUGCCUCCGGUGAAAGAACUACAAAGUAACCGACUUGUGGGCAUCAGAUGCUACAUGGAUUAUGACAUUCUGACCUUUGGCUAAAAGGGGGCAAGACCUGAAAGCAAUGGCAGUCACAGGCAGAACUCAGAGGGUGACACAGAACCUGCUGGGUUCAGGAAGAGACCCACCAGGCCCUUAGUAAGCUGAGAAAGAAUAGAUCUCACAUCUCCAGCACAGAGGCCAGCUGGGAGGAGCACGGGCAGAAUAGAAAAAGGACAUGAUCCAGCAAGCAGGUGAGGUCCCCAUGAGGCCUGCAUCAAGACCUCCAGGGCUGGUCCCCAUGGCAGGAGGGACUCGGUAAAUUCUCCCAUUCAUCAUCUUUAGGGGGGAAAAAAUCUGGAAACCUGAGCAGUUACCUGGAAAGGACUGUUUUAAAGUACAAGGAGACUGGCAUAUUGCUAAUUGGCUAAUUUAAAGUUCACAUUCGUUUCCCUGCUACCCCAGGGCUGUAGAAUCUUGAAGAAAAUUCAAUCCGUUACAGAGAAAUAAAGGAACUACAUUUUCUUCCCGCAAUUGGAUUGUGUGAGUAAAUCUGUAAUCUCUCUACACCUGCAAUGUAACAGCCACUGUAUACAUAUGUUUUCAUAGCAUUCUCCCCCGGUCCUGUGAGGUAAGUGUUAUUAUAUUCCCACUGCACAAAUGAAGCUGAAACUCAGAGACGCUAAGUGAUUUGUGCAAGGUCACACGGUUGCUCAGAGGAAAACUUUGUUUAGAGUCCAGGAGUGUCUGACUCUGACGUGUGGCCUCGUCACUGUCCCUGUGCAUUAGUGGCCUGACUCCUACUUAUGCGAUCACAGUGUCCUGAUACACACAGUUCAUUGAUGAGAGCUGCUUUCUUAGCCAGAGUAAGUAGGCAGACAUCACCUUUUAGAACUCAGCCUCCCUCCCACCUCUGCCUCAACCUCCUGCCAGCUCGCCAAAAUGUACAGGAGGGAAGACUGUGGAGUCCAGGGUUCCAGUCUAGAAUAUAUUGAUUCCCUUCCAUUAAAUAUGAAGCCAAAAUUAAAAGAAAAAAACACCAAUCCAAUAAUGAAAUUGUGAAAAUUAUGCAUAUAGCUGGAAAUGUCUAGGUUUGCCUUCCAGGUCCUCUGUAGAUUGAAACGAGUCACCUAUGAUCUAUUUUGUUUUCACACAGAGGAGAGCCAUGCAUGCCUGCCUUGGAACAGACUAGGUCACGAACUAGCUGUGCUUCCUUGAAUCCUUCAAGAUUUAAUGGGAGGACAGGAACUGAGAAAGUGCUCAAGGACCCCAGAGUCAGUGACGGCUUGGAUCACUAUCUCCUCUGGACAAAGCCAUUGCCUUCCUGACCAUGCAUUCUGGAAAGGAUCAGAGCAGCCACAGAUACAAACGCCGUAGAGAAAGCGUCUGGUGAGAUAUCGCGGUGAGUAGAGAGAGGCACCUAGAUUCAGACAUGAUGAUCUAAGUUCAGUAAUGAGCUCCCGGGGCAGAAGAGAAUUGACUCUCAAGUGAGUUGUCCUCUGACUUCCAAGGGCACGCGUGUACUGCCACCAUCCAAAGAAAAUUAAUUACACAAAAUAAAAUAAAGCUGAGAAACCGAGAGGCUCCCUCUCUAGUAGGCCUUUAGUGUUUCAAGCAAGCUUCCAUGGAUCAUUUAACAGGCAAGUGUGUGGUGCCCAGGUGUGCAAGACUUUGCAUUAAAUAAAAGAUAAAGAGAUCUUGGCUCCAGGUAUCUCCUGUCUCUGACGCCUAGAGAUCCAAUAAUCAUCAAAGACUCUUUUCCUAGGCGGGCCCCCCAGGCAUUAAGUUCAGACAGCAUCUUUGCAAACUCAUGUUUUAUCUUAAUAAUCUAAAAGCCAAUUCCUUCAAAUUAUCUAUCAGAGGAAAGCCCCCCCCUAAGGGGGUCACCUUACUGUAACUUUUAAAAUCCAAACUGAUUAAUUUCUCAAAUAAAUAAUUUAAAUCUUAGACACGAAACCAUUUGGAAAAGAAUUCUCACUUGAAGUCAUUUCAUUCUAUACUUUUCGACACCAAUGGACUUCAUGAA
rnacentral:sRNA from 1 species